rnacentral:rRNA from 1 species
AUUGAACGCUGGCGGCAGGCCUAACACAUGCAAGUCGAGCGGAUGAAGGGAGCUUGCUCCUGGAUUCAGCGGCGGACGGGUGAGUAAUGCCUAGGAAUCUGCCUGGUAGUGGGGGAUAACGUCCGGAAACGGGCGCUAAUACCGCAUACGUCCUGAGGGAGAAAGUGGGGGAUCUUCGGACCUCACGCUAUCAGAUGAGCCUAGGUCGGAUUAGCUAGUUGGUGGGGUAAAGGCCUACCAAGGCGACGAUCCGUAACUGGUCUGAGAGGAUGAUCAGUCACACUGGAACUGAGACACGGUCCGGACUCCUACGGGAGGCAGCGGUGGGGAAUAUUGGACAAAGGGCGAAAGCCUGAUCCAGCCAUGCCGCGUGUGUGAAGAAGGUCUUCGGAUUGUAAAGCAGUUUAAGUUGGGAGGAAGGGCAGUAAGUUAAUACCUUGCUGUUUUGACGUUACCAACAGAAUAAGCACCGGCUAACUUCGUG